UGAGUGAUGAUAAUGACAGUAGCUCAUGAAUAAGGACCUGCUAACUACGUGCCAGCAGCCGCGGUCAUACGUAGGGUCCAAGCGUUAUCCGGAAUUACUGGGCGUAAAGAGUUGCGUAGGUGGCAAGGUAAGCGAAGCAUGAAAUUUUGUGGCUCAACCACAAGACUAUGCUUUGAACUAUCUAGCUAGGGCGCGGGAGAGGUAGAUGGAAUUGCUGGUGUAGGAGUGAAAUCCGUAGAUAUCAG
rnacentral:rRNA from 1 species